CAUGUGUUCUCAGGUCACCCCUGCUGAGCUCUUUCUCUACCGACCAUCUUUAUCAAUGCCGUGGCUUUUAUCGUUUACCAAAUGGUACUGCCAAAGAAACAGAGGAAGCAAAGAAACCCACCAUGAGUUCAUCAUAAUGUUUGUGAUGUUAAUUUCUUAGUUUAAGCGAUGAUUGUGAAAGAAAAGUUUACUUCACGGAGUAGGCGGAGAGCUGCGGGACGAGUGAACUUCCUGGCGAAGAGAAAGCACGGCGACGGUUUACCUUUAUGGCUACACCAUUCUCGCCGGUAUUCAGUCUCGUAGUUGAUAUUGUCGAUUCCCUGUGAAUCAAUGUGUUUGGUUAGAGAUUCUAUUUCUGUUUUAAGUUUGCAAUUGGUUAUAGCUAUAUCAAGAAAAAAGAAGAAGAUUACAUACAUUUUAA